rnacentral:misc_RNA from 1 species
UACGAGGGGUGCAAACAUUAUUCGGAAUCACUGGGCGUAAAGGGUGCGUAGACGGUAAAACAAGUCUGUUAUGAAAUCCUGCGGCUUAACCGCAGGGCUGUAACUGAAACUGUUUUUCUUGAGGAUGGAAGAGAGAAGUGGAAUUCUCGGAGUAGCGGUAAAAUGCGUAGAUCUCGAGAGGAACACCGAUGGCGAAGGCAGCUUCUUGGUCCAUUUCUGACGUUGAGGCACGAAAGCGUGGGGAGCAAACAGG